ACGGCGAGUGAAGCGGCAACAGCUCAAAUUUGAAAUCUGGCCCUUUUAGGGUCCGAGUUGUAAUUUGCAGAGGGCGCUUUGGCGUUGGCAGCGGUCCAAGUUCUUUGGAACAGGACGUCACAGAGGGUGAGAAUCCCGUACGUGGUCGCUAGCCUUGGCCGUGUAAAGCCCCUUCGACGAGUCGAGUUGUUUGGGAAUGCAGCUCUAAAUGGGAGGUAAAUUUCUUCUAAAGCUAAAUACUGGCCAGAGACCGAUAGCGCACAAGUAGAGUGAUCGAAAGAUGAAAAGCACUUUGGAAAGAGAGUCAAAUAGCACGUGAAAUUGUUGAAAGGGAAGCGCUUGCAGCCAGACUUGCCUGUAGUUGCUUAUCCGGACUUUUGUCCGGUGCACUCUUCUGCGGGCAGGCCAGCAUCAGUUUAGGCGGUUGGAUAAAGGUCUCUAUCACGUACCUCCCUUCGGGGUUGGCCUUAUAGGGGAGACGACAUGCAACCAGCCUGAACUGAGGUCCGCGCAUCUGCUAGGAUGCUGGCGUAAUGGCUGUAAGCGGCCCGUCUUGAAACACGGACCAAGGAGUCUAACAUCUAUGCGAGUGUUUGGGUGUCAAGCCCAGACGCGUAAUGAAAGUGAACGGAGGUGGGAACCUUUUUAGGUGCACCAUCGACCGAUCCUGAUGUCUUCGGAUGGAUUUGAGUAAGAGCAUGGCUGUUGGGACCCGAAAGAUGGUGAACUAUGCUUGAAUAGGGUGAAGCCAGAGGAAACUCUGGUGGAGGCUCGCAGCGGUUCUGACGUGCAAAUCGAUCGUCAAAUUUGGGCAUAGGGGCGAAAGACUA
rnacentral:rRNA from 1 species